UACGUAGGGGGCAAGCGUUGUCCGGAAUCAUUGGGCGUAAAGGGCGCGUAGGCGGCGCGGUAAGUCACUUGUGAAAUCUCUGAGCUUAACUCAGAACGGCCAAGUGAUACUGCAGUGCUAGAGUGUGGAAGGGGCAAUCGGAAUUCUUGGUGUAGCGGUGAAAUGCGUAGAUAUCAAGAGGAACACCUGAGGUGAAGACGGGUUGCUGGGCCAACACUGACGCUGAUGCGCGAAAGCCAGGGGAGCAAACGGG
rnacentral:rRNA from 1 species